rnacentral:tRNA from 1 species
GCUUCGAUAGCUCAGUGGUAGAGCGGAAGAUUGCAGAUCCUCAGGUCAUGUGUUCAAACCACAUUCGGAGCU